ACGCGACCCCAGGUCAGGCGGUGCUACCCGCUGAGUUU
rnacentral:rRNA from 1 species